AUGCACGCUAGCGGCAGGCCUCACCCAUGCAAGUCGAGGGAGGAGCUUUCGGGCUUCGACCGGCGUACGGGUGCGUAACGCGUAUACAAUCUGCCUUUCACAUAGGGAUAGCCCGAAGAAAUUUGGAUUAAUACCUAAUGGUAUAUAGAGGUGGCAUCACCUUUAUAUUAAAGCUGAGGCGGUGAAAGAUGGGUAUGCGUUCUAUUAGCUAGUUGGAGAGGUAACGGCUCCCCAAGGCGACGAUAGAUAGGGGUUCUGAGAGGGAUAUCCCCCACACUGGUACUGAGAUACGGACCAGACUCCUACGGGAGGCAGCAGUGAGGAAUAUUGGACAAUGGUCGGAAGACUGAUCCAGCCAUGCCGCGUGCAGGAAGACGGCCUUAUGGGUUGUAAACUGCUUUUGCAGGGGAAGAAUAAGGACUACGCGUAGUUUGAUGACGGUACUCUGCGAAUAAGCAUCGGCUAACUCCGUG
rnacentral:rRNA from 1 species